AGUCUGCAUGUGGUAAUUUGAAAAAUCACCACGUGUACCAGUCCCCUGAAGAAAGAGGUCUUUCCUUCACAUGUUGAUUAUCCCUGCAUGCUGUCCACAUGCAGCUGAUCAUGAGCAAUUAGGUUGCCUUCCCAGGGAGAGCAUGAAGCUUUGUUCUAGGAGCAGGAGCAGUUGCAGCAGCUGCCAUCAAUCAGGAAUCAGCUCAAAGAAAAGUCAGUUGCUGGAGCCACGGAGCAGAGUGGGAAAGAGGAAUAAGGGUGGGAGUGGUGGUCGGAUUCCCAAAUGCAUCUCAGGAGGGACAAUAAAAGUGUUAUCAAGGAACAUGCACCAACUUUACAAGCCAGAAGAGGAAUCAUAUGAGCUUUUCCCAAGCUCUUGCUAAGAAAUCUUAUACCAAGCUGAUUCUGACAAACUAAGGGGAAUUUGCUCAUCACUAAAAACAGACCAUCUUUUAAUUAACUAUAUGGCAUCCUGUAUAGUGUGGCUCUGGCCCCUAGAUGCCAUUUAUGUGCAAACAAUACAAAACUCAAACUAUCUGGGAGAGUCACUAGAUAAUUUGCUUUUUAGACUGUGUUCAUUUUUCGUAUACACACAGUCUGACUGCAAAUCUCUGGAGUUUUCUGUUGACUAAUGAAAACUCCCCCCUUCCUAGAAUUAAACUGAGAGCCUACAGUGGGUGGUUUGCACCUGGUAUAUUAGUACAGCAAUAUGGUAGCUUAUUAUGGUAUCAUUGUGUAUUGUGAUAUUUUGGGGAAGAGCAAGAUGGAUUGUUUACAUUACUUCUAUGGCUCCCUGUAGUACAAUGUGCAUCAACUGUUUUUGAAAGUUGCUGGGGAAAGUGUGGUGUUUUUUUUUCAUUUGUAGCUUAUUCUUACAAAAAGUGACCAAGACCACAUCUGAAUUUCAACCAGAAUUGAGAAAUGCUUUUAUGGGAGGCAGGUGAAAAAUUGAAGAUGUCUUUAUAUAAUAUUUGUGGACUUGCCAAACAACAACUAACAACCCUGAAAUCUGACAGAAGCAGCAGCAACAACAAAAUCAGCAGCUAUUAUUUAGAGCAGCUGUUCAUCACUCUAUCUGUCCCUUAUCUAAUGAGAUCCAACACAUCAGGAGAUGAAAGAAACUGUUUAAAUUACAGGGCAGCUAAUGAAUAUGAAUUCACACAAAUUCUUUUAUCAUUAGUAUGGUAUCCAUACUAAUGUUACCAGAAUUUAUUCCUAUAGAUAUGUAGGCUAAAACAGGCUUGUAAGUACCACUGUUGUUCCUGUGGUAUGUCUUUCCUUGAAGAUUUUCUCUAGUCAGGCUUAAAUAACAUUGUUAAAAACAGCUGUGAAUCUCCUGAAGCUGGAAGAAAUGUAAAGCCAUUGAGAGGUCUGAGUGACUUGGUUAUGAAAUGACUAAAGCUGUGUACACACAACAUUUGA